GAUGAACGCUGGCGGCGUGCUUAACACAUGCAAGUCGAACGGAAAGGCUCCUGCUUGCCGGGGUACUCGAGUGGCGAACGGGUGAGUAACACGUGGGUGAUCUGCCCUGCACUUCGGGAUAAGCCUGGGAAACUGGGUCUAAUACCGGAUAGGACGAUGGUUUGGAUGCCAUUGUGGAAAGUUUUUCGGUGUGGGAUGAGCUCGCGGCCUAUCAGCUUGUUGGUGGGGUAAUGGCCUACCAAGGCGUCGACGGGUAGCCGGCCUGAGAGGGUGUACGGCCACAUUGGGACUGAGAUACGGCCCAGACUCCUACGGGAGGCAGCAGUGGGGAAUAUUGCACAAUGGGCGCAAGCCUGAUGCAGCGACGCCGCGUGGGGGAUGACGGCCUUCGGGUUGUAAACUCCUUUCGCUAGGGACGAAGCGCAAGUGACGGUACCUGGUGAAGAAGCACCGGCUAACUACGUG
rnacentral:rRNA from 1 species